rnacentral:sRNA from 1 species
GGCAUGAUGAUACCAGCGAUGAAAGUA